rnacentral:rRNA from 1 species
UACGAAGGGGGCUAGCGUUGCUCGGAAUCACUGGGCGUAAAGCGCACGUAGGCGGAUCUUUAAGUCAGGGGUGAAAUCCCAAGGCUCAACCUUGGAACUGCCUUUGAUACUGGGGAUCUCGAGUCCGGAAGAGGUUGGUGGAACUCCGAGUGUAGAGGUGAAAUUCGUAGAUAUUCGCAAGAACACCAGUGGCGAAGGCGGCUCACUGGCCCGGUACUGACGCUGAGGUGCGAAAGCGUGGGGAGCAAACAGG